ensembl:lncRNA
GAGGCUGCUGGGAAUUUCCCACUAAGAGCAAAAGGUUACGGGUUUUCUCAAUGAAGAAAGUGAGCUGAGAGAAGCCUCAUGCUAGCUUUACUCUUACUGCUUAUUUUCAUGAAGACCUUCUACAUGUACACAGCAAUCACAAUGUCUGAUCAAGAAAUGACAACUGACUCAAAGUAGAUAAAAACUAUUUAUGUUACACUUGAAAUGCAAAACAUUGUCAAACCUGAAAAUACACAUCUCUCUCAUUGUUGAGAACGCACAGGCCAACAGGGCAAGAAGGUCUUUAAGUAUCAAAUUGUUGUUUCCUUUUAUUUAAAAAAAAAAGUUGAUCUUUUCUUGCUAUUGACAUUCACAAAUAUAAGCAAAGUAGUCAUAUGCACACAUGUGCAAGAGCGUAUGUACUGUAUCAGUAGAAGAGAGCAACAGGUCAGGGCCCAGCUUCCCAACAGCAUCACAGUGUUGAGAUCACCUUCCGUUUAAACAAAGUGGUCAGACUGACUCUCGCUCAAACAUACAGCCUUCAUCAGCUUCGGCGUGGAUGCGUUUGGGGAAUCUCAGGAUCAGAAAGAGACACAAUAAACAUAGCUGCAGUUUACAUUAUUCAGAGAUUUCCUUCUUUCUACUUCACCAGAAUUGUGUGCGUGUGUGUGUGUUGUGAAACUGGGCAAAAGUCAUUUACUAUUAUUCAGUAAGUCGUGAAGAUAUUACAUUCUGAUGAAUAAAAUGACAUAUCCGUUUGAAGAAACUUAGAAGGACCUCUGACUCAUAAGCGACAGCAGACACUGCGAGGCACAGUACUGAGCAUUCAGAACAAUACAGCUUCAGGUCAGGAAGAGUGGAAAGAAAGCAUGAUGCGAUUGUUUGAUAGCCAGUAAAACCCACUCUUAAUCGACAUGUUUUAAUAGAAUCGGCAUUUAAACCAUGAAAAUCUAUCAAUCCGAAUGUAUUACUAGAUGGCGCUGUAGAUCUCAGUGUUCGAUGUAAAUACGCAGGGUGAGUUCAAAUGUAUUUUCUGACUGCGUUGCUUCCACGUGUUUUAAUCCUGGCAACGAAUUCUGUCAAAAUCACUUAGGGAAAGAAAAAUGUGAGGUCCCUGUCUUUGCGGGUGUGAGCGAUGACCACUGCAUGCACUGCGAUUCCAGAUGUUUGAGAGUUGGAACUUACAUUUUAUCGUGUUGCACAUGUUUGAGAGGGGAUGUUGCAAAUUUGGAGUUCGGUGUAAACGAGGUAGUGCGUGGCAUGUCAUGCCUAAGGAGAAGAAGAAAAAGAAGUGGAGGAGAAGGAGGAAAGGUGGGAACAACAUGCUUGCUGGAAAUGUGUGUCAAUUACAGCAGGUCAUGGAAUGUCCUUGAUAUUUUAUUAAAAGCGCUAGUAACGGUUAAAGCCCAGGCAUCCUUUAAGAGGGAGCUUGAAUAAACCUACAUCACGACUCUUAACUGCCAGAGAUGUAAACUUCACAAUGCUGAAACCUCCAUAGUGUUUUUAGAGCUGGAUUAAGUAAUGGAACGAUUAAUGGGGGGGGGGGGGGGGGGGUCCUGGUGUGCUGAUGUGAGUCGUUCAAUCAUUAAUCACUUCUGAUUUCUAUUUAAUGACUGUAAAAUGCUCUCAUGUGCUUGUAGCGGUGACUGCACUGGUCAUUGCGACGCCCGACGGAGACAGGGCACGAAGAAAAAACACGAAGCAACGUCCAGGGUGCUUUUUGUUCACCUCACCAGUUCCACAAAUGUGAAAGAAGACCUACAGGAUUUUGUGUGCUGUGCGAAAUCUCGUUCGCCUGGACAUUAGCAAACCAACUCCUGAGUACUUUGCGGAAGCACUGUACACGAUCACCUGGAAGGUAAAGAGCUGUUCGGGGGUAGGGGUUUAGCUCUGGCAGUUGACCUACAGCCAAUUUUGCAUAGCAGCAAGGCAAUACGGUAAUAACGACACAUACACGGCGAGUUAUACACCCGCACAGCACACGGGUACUGCGCUAUGGCAUCGGGGAUCACACAGUUUUGGCUGUUGAUGACAAAACUGUACAGAUAUCUUUGCCUUUUCCUCGUUAUAUGCCUCAUUAUGCCUUUAUAAAUAGAAUCAUAUUAAAUUCCUGUUCAAAGACAAAAGUGCAAAAAAGGGGAUCUUUACAAAUUGUCAGAGUUCUGUCUUCACAAGAUCAAUACCAUUAUUAAAAAAAAGACUCUCUCUGUGACUCGGUGGAGAAAAACAAAGCUGAAACUCGUGUGCGACAGUAAGGGCGAGUUUACAGUGACGUCGAAUCUUAAAUCCUAAUCUCAACGCUACACCCAGUACAGGUUUAGAACAUAAUAAUAAUAAUAACAACAACAAUAUACACAUUAAACAGAUCGGUCACGGUGAAAAAACAAUCAAAUUAAAUUCCUUUAUGAAUUGGAAAAUGCAGAGAUGGCAUUCUACACGUACAGUUUGAAAAGCUCUAUGGACCAAAAGAGGGGGAAAAAACCCACUGAGUGUAACUGAAACUACUAGGUCCGGCUUCACAGCUACGCAGCAGUUCACUCAAAACAUCACGUAAAAAGGUUAGAAAAAAACUCGCUUCGCUUAAGCAGCCGGGAUUCUUCUCACUGCUCCUAAAGGCUAGCAUUUCGCUCGCGACUAUCUCCGUCGUCGAGAAGCCUGUUUCCUCGUUCUCAUUCCAAUUGAAAAAAAAGAGUGCAUUUUUUUCCUUUCUAUAAACCAUGUGAAGAUCAGGGAAGACAGAAGCUUCUAGAGUCCAAAACUCUGAAAGACACUAACAAUAAAUAUUUAUAUAUAAAAACAAACAAAACAGAUAUGCACUCAUAUUUCCAACAGUAAGGUUUCUAUUAUAAUAAUACUUAAACUUUUAUAAUGACAUACAAAUAUACCUUUGAGCAAUGCCAUAAGCCAUGUAAGUUAAGAAAAUUAAUAUGUGGGAUAAAUUAUUAUACAAAAUUUAACACUAUGCUAGUUUGCUUUCCAACUUCGAAAGGAUUCGAGUCCUGAACGUCGUAUUCUUCAGUGACACGUGUGACAGAAGAACUCCAAAAUACUCAAAAACCUGAAUUCACCCUCUUUAAAAAAAUACAGCUUGCUAAAAAGCAUCUAGAAAAUAUUCCCUUGGUGAAAUGCUUUAUUUUGUUUGUCUGUCUGGUUUUUUCUCCUUGUCCUCUGCAGCCUGUUGCGCAGUCCAGGCAUGAAGGACACUAAGUGCACUUUAGAUCCGGGCAAGUCUGCAGAGCCUGCCUCGCGCUUGCAUCACACCGUCACGUUCAAAUCCAACCGGUUUGUCUUUACUGUUCCGCUUUCGAAAACCGCCAGACCCGUGGAAAGAAAAGAAAAAAAAAACUUGCUGGGGACGUGUGGUGUACAAAAAGCCACGCUGAUUCUCAAACAUCGGAGACAUGUCUGCAUUCUGGGACAGUCUGGAGAGGGCGCUAUGGGACGCCUCGGCUGCCGAGGACAGUAAAGCGGUGCUGCUCUUCCGGAAGAUUUCGUUGUGCGCCGUUGUCUUGGUCACUUUGCCAGCUCGCUCAGAGCCUGAGGUUUUGCGUUUGCGUCCCUCGGUGGAUCCGCACGGCAGCAGGCUUGGGGACAAAACUGACCCAUGAUUGCCCUUUGGCGCCUGGGGCAGGUUUAGCUCGAUGCUGGUGUGUCUGUCCAUGUCGCUCAGUCCCUGACUCCCCCCUGGCUGGUUUGGUUUGGACCGCAUGCUCAGGGCCGCCGUGCCGUUGCUGACGUGUACAGGGCCUGAAAGAUGGUAGCCACUCCCAUUCCUUUUCUCAGCAACUGGAAGUGGCUUGUGCUUUUUCAACAACACCCCUUCUGCAGAGGUUUUUAAUGACUUGGCUGCUUUAUUCAGCUGCAGUUUGGAUUCUUGAAGGCAGAAGAUUCUGGUGCCAUUCUGGGAGAAAGGGGUGGAGCAGGACACAGUGGAAACAGAGUCAAGGGGUGGAGUCGGGCUAGGGAGAAGGGACAUGCUCAGAGAUGAUGAAUCAGACAUGCUAGGCAUGCUGUCUGCCGCUAGAGGAACUUUCCU